UCCUUGGUGGCUUAGACAGUAAAGAAUCUGCCUGUCAAGCAGGAGACCUGGGUUCAAUCCCUGUGUCAGGAA
rnacentral:tRNA from 1 species